GCGGAGGAAAAGNAACCNACAGGGAUUGCCUCAGUAACGGCGAGUGAAGCGGCAACAGCUCAAAUUUGAAAUCUGGCCCCAGGCCCGAGUUGUAAUUUGCAGAGGAUGCUUUUGGCGCGGUGCCUUCCGAGUUCCCUGGAACGGGACGCCAUAGAGGGUGAGAGCCCCGUCUGGUUGGACACCAAGCCUCUGUAAAGCUCCUUCGACGAGUCGAGUAGUUUGGGAAUGCUGCUCAAAAUGGGAGGUAUAUGUCUUCUAAAGCUAAAUACCGGCCAGAGACCGAUAGCGCACAAGUAGAGUGAUCGAAAGAUGAAAAGCACUUUGAAAAGAGAGUUAAAUAGCACGUGAAAUUGUUAAAAGGGAAGCGUUUAUGACCAGACUUGGGCCGGUUAAUCAUCCAGCGUUCUCGCUGGUGCACUUUGCCGGUCCAGGCCAGCAUCAGUUCGUCGCGGGGGAUAAAGGCGUCGGGAAUGUGGCUCCUCGGAGUGUUAUAGCCCUUCGCGCAAUACCCUGCGGUGGACUGAGGUUCGCGCUCUGCAAGGAUGCUGGCGUAAUGGUCAUCAACGACCCGUCUUGAAACACGGACCAAGGAGUCGUCUUCGUAUGCGAGUGUUCGGGUGUAAAACCCCUACGCGUAAUGAAAGUGAACGCAGGUGAGAGCUUCGGCGCAUCAUCGACCGAUCCUGAUGUUCUCGGAUGGAUUUGAGUAAGAGCAUACGGGGCCGGACCCGAAAGAAGGUGAACUAUGCCUGUAUAGGGUGAAGCCAGAGGAAACUCUGGUGGAGGCUCGCAGCGGUUCUGACGUGCAAAUCGAUCGUCAAAUAUGGGCA
rnacentral:rRNA from 1 species